rnacentral:rRNA from 1 species
UACGGGGGGGGCAAGCGUUGUUCGGAAUUACUGGGCGUAAAGGGCCAGUAGGCGGCCAACUAAGUCCGACGUGAAAUCCCCAGGCUUAACCUGGGAACUGCGUCGGAUACUGGAUGGCUUGAAUUCGGGAGAGGGAUGCAGAAUUCCAGGUGUAGCGGUGAAAUGCGUAGAUAUCUGGAGGAAUACCGGUGGCGAAGGCGGCAUCCUGGACCAACACUGACGCUGAGUGAGCGAAAGCCAGGGGAGCAAACGGG